rnacentral:rRNA from 1 species
AGUGAACGCUGGCGGUAGGCCUAACACAUGCAAGUCGAACGGCAGCACAGGAGAGCUUGCUCUCUGGGUGGCGAGUGGCGGACGGGUGAGGAAUACAUCGGAAUCUACUCUGUCGUGGGGGAUAACGUAGGGAAACUUACGCUAAUACCGCAUACGACCUACGGGCGAAAGCAGGGGACCUUCGGGCCUUGCGCGAUUGAAUGAGCCGAUGUCGGAUUAGCUAGUUGGCGGGGUAAAGGCCCACCAAGGUGACGAUCCGUAGCUGGUCUGAGAGGAUGAUCAGCCACACUGGAACUGAGACACGGUCCAGACUCCUACGGGAGGCAGCAGUGGGGAAUAUUGGACAAUGGGCGCAAGCCUGAUCCAGCCAUACCGCGUGGGUGAAGAAGGCCUUCGGGUUGUAAAGCCCUUUUGUUGGGAAAGAAAUCCAGCUGGCUAAUACCCGGUUGGGAUGACGGUACCCAAAGAAUAAGCACCGGCUAACUUCGUGCCAGCCGCCGCAGUAA